rnacentral:rRNA from 1 species
UACGUAGGGUGCUAGCGUUGUUCGGAAUCAUUGGGCGUAAAGCGCGUGUAGGCGGUCAGGCAAGUCAGAUGUGAAAUCCCUGGGCUCAACCGAGGAAGUGCAUCCGAAACUGCUUGGCUAGAAGACGGUAGAGGAAGGUGGAAUUCCUAGUGUAGAGGUGAAAUUCGUAGAUAUUAGGAGGAAUACCGGUGGCGAAGGCGGCCUUCUGGGCCGAUCUUGACGCUGAGACGCGAAAGCGUGGGGAGCGAACCGG